AAUUCCGACAAAAAACUUACAGCUCUUAGCAAAGAUCUCCUAUCCCUCUCCGGAGCAUUCUUGAUUGCCUAAAGCAGCAAACAAUUGCGAUAAACCCCUGUUAUUUCCGAAUACGGCCUGAAUCUACCGCUGACUUCCUGCAAUCACACACACACACACACAUAAAUCGGAGAAAUUAGAUAUACAUAAAUUACAGAUCAGAGAGGCGAGCUUUUAGUGUGUGUUUUUCGGAAAGAGAGAAGGUGGUCGAAGACUCGAUCGGCGGCCGGUGGGUGACGGAAUUUUUGGCUCGGAUGGGUAUGGGAUGGUGGUGGCACGGCGAAUGGGGGAAGAAGACAAAAAUUUUUUUUUUGUUUUUUGUUUUCUUUGUUUUAUUUUUAUUUUUUAUUUUUUUGUUUUUUAAAGAAUAAUUUAUAUUUAACAUUAAAGAUGUAAGUGAAUGUACGAAGAUACCCCUGCAAAUGUCACAUGCAAGGCACAUGUUUUAACUUUCCGGUUAAAAUUGCCGGAAAAUUGAGUUCAGGGGACACCGUGCAACGAAUUAACGAGUUCAGGUAAAAA